UACAGAGGGUGCAAGCGUUAAUCGGAAUUACUGGGCGUAAAGCGUGCGUAGACGGUUGCGUAAGUCAGAUGUGAAAGCCCCGGGCUCAACCUGGGAAUUGCAUUUGAGACUGCGUAGCUAGGGUGCGGAAGAGGGAAGCGGAAUUUCCGGUGUGAGCGGUGAAAUGCGUAGAGAUGCGGAGGAACACCGAUGGCGAAGGCAGCCCCUGGGCUAGCACUGACCGCUCAGGCACGAAAGCGUGGGGAA
rnacentral:rRNA from 1 species